AUUGAACGCUGGCGGCAGGCCUAACACAUGCAAGUCGAACGGUAACAGGAAACAGCUUGCUGUUUCGCUGACGAGUGGCGGACGGGUGAGUAAUGUCUGGGAAACUGCCUGAUGGAGGGGGAUAACUACUGGAAACGGUAGCUAAUACCGCAUAACGUCGCAAGACCAAAGAGGGGGACCUUCGGGCCUCUUGCCAUCGGAUGUGCCCAGAUGGGAUUAGCUAGUAGGUGGGGUAACGGCUCACCUAGGCGACGAUCCCUACCUGGUCUGAGAGGAUGACCAGCCACACUGGAACUGAGACACGGUCCAGACUCCUACGGGACGCAGCAGUGGGGAAUAGUGCGCAAUGGGCGCAAGCCUGAUGCAGCCAUGCCGCGUGUAUGAAGAAGGCCUUCGGGUUGUAAAGUACUUUCAGCGGGGAUGAAGGGAGUAAAGUUAAUACCUUUGCUCAUUGACGUUACCCGCAGAAGAAGCACCGGCUAACUCCGUG
rnacentral:rRNA from 1 species